GCGACGUGUCAGGCCCCGCCCGAGGCUACUUUUAACUGCUGCGCCUGACAUUACUUACAGGCAAAAAUUAUUUACAAAAAUAUGGAUGAGAGAAUAAUGAGAGCUGUGGAAUUGGGGAUUUCAAGAAAUAUGGCUCUAAACCUCUUGCUUGGCACUAUUAGCCGAUUCACUGGCACUUUGUCUGGUACCACGGGCACCUUGUCAGGCACAUGGCCGACUGCAUGCGCCGGCACCUCCAGCUCAGGAGUCGUCG